GAUGAACGCUGGCGGCGUGCUUAACACAUGCAAGUCGAACGGAAAGGCUCCUGCUUGCAGGGGUACUCGAGUGGCGAACGGGUGUGUAACACGUGGGUGAUCUGCCCUGCACUUCGGGAUAAGCCUGGGAAACUGGGUCUAAUACCGGAUAGGACGAUGGUUUGGAUGCCAUUGUGGAAAGUUUUUUCGGUGUGGGAUGAGCUCGCGGCCUAUCAGCUUGUUGGUGGGGUAAUGGCCUACCAAGGCGUCGACGGGUAGCCGGCCUGAGAGGGUGUACGGCCACAUUGGGACUGAGAUACGGCCCAGACUCCUACGGGAGGCAGCAGUGGGGAAUAUUGCACAAUGGGCGCAAGCCUGAUGCAGCGACGCCGCGUGGGGGAUGACGGCCUUCGGGUUGUAAACUCCUUUCGCUAGGGACGAAGCGCAAGUGACGGUACCUGGAGAAGAAGCACCGGCUAACUACGUG
rnacentral:rRNA from 1 species